UACGUAGGGGGCAAGCGUUGUCCGGAUUUAUUGGGCGUAAAGAGCGUGUAGGCGGCCAGGUAGGUCUGCUGUGAAAACUCGAGGCUUAACCUCGAGCUGUCGGCGGAAACCAUCUGGCUAGAGUCCGGAAGAGGAGAAUGGAAUUCCCGGUGUAGCGGUGAAAUGCGCAGAUAUCGAGAGGAACACCGAUUGCGAAGGCAGCUCGCUGGGACGUUACUGACGCUGAGACGCGAAAGCGUGGGGAGCAAACAGG
rnacentral:rRNA from 1 species